CCCAGAAGUAGGAAGUUUUCUCACUCUGGCAGGCUGCUGGGGGGCACACCCUGACUUCUGGGCUUCUUUAACCUGUGAUUCCCCCAAGAAGAAGGAGUGGGCAGGGACCCAGUGAAUAGACCACACAAGAACAGCCAGAAGGAUUGAUAUGCUCUAAUCACAGCUGCAGGACAGGGAGGCAGACCAGCUCUCCACCUACCAAAUAUCCUUGGUCUAAUGGAUAAGAUUGAGAGUGAAAAUACAGAAAGGACUUCUAAAGAGCCAGCAACUGGAAAAAAGACCACAUAGAGAUACCCAAAAUGUGAACUGUUUUUUUGUGUGUGUUUUUUGGUUUUUGUUGUUUUUUUGUUUUGUUUUGUUCUGGUUUGUUUUUGUUUUUGCUGUUCGAUGAUUAGGGAUACUUAUCUUUUUCUCUAUUUUUUCAGAGUUGUUAAACUUCCCACAACAAGCAUGACUUACUUUUAUGCUCAAAAAGAACAUGAAACAACCAAAAAAGGCAAAAUAAUACUGGAUUAUAACGCAGGGCAAUGAGUUCCAAUGCCAAAGCGGAAAUCAAUGCAAAACGUGACUGGAUUUGGGAAACUUGGCUUUCCCACCAAUAGUUUGGGACCAUGUCAGAAGUUCUGAAGGCUAUAAAUAGAUCUACAUUUCAUACUGACAUUUUGGGGAUCUGAAAAGCAACGGGAUGUCACUUUCCCACGAAGGUAACUUAGAAUUCAAUGUCACUUCGAAUCUGUAAUGCUUUAUGUUCUUUCGGUGCUAGUGACAUAUUGACGUGAACUUAUCUCUUUGUACCUUUCUCCACACUCCUCCCACUUCAGCAGGUCAAGGUGAGGAUUACAGGGAAGAGUGUGCGGCAAGAAAUAGGCCAGAGGGGGCAAUAAAUAGUAGAUCUAUAAUCAUUCUAAUCUUGGAAGACUAAAAGGGCCAGGAUAAAGUCUAGGGUGUUGUUAGCAGAUGAACAGCAGGGUCGUCUUGAAAUAGAAGUCAAUCCAGCAGUAUAAGCUCAGCUCUCAGGGUUUAAGUUCUGGAAGUACAUGAAAACACAACAAAAAAGCUGGUGGUCGAGCUCAAGGCCAGGUUUAAGACAGAACAUGGAAUCAUG
rnacentral:lncRNA from 1 species